UCACACCCGCUUUUGCGUAAAUAAACGCUCGCCGGUGCGAUGCUCGGAAGUCAAACGCCUCAUACGACUCCCCGGGUAGAAUAGCCAUGAGGCUCGAUAUUCCUACGCCGUUCACGUAGGUACAUCUAAAUUGUACGAACUCGAGGUGAUAGUGUUUAGUUAAUCUUCAAGCUAUCACCCUUAAACUAAAAGGUUAACUACACACUGUAGACUCGCAAUCGCACCCUAAUUCGGACGGGGGUUCAACUCCCCCCAUCUCCACAU
rnacentral:tmRNA from 1 species